AAGAGAGGCUGCCUGGGGAGAAGUAAGCAGGGCGAGUGGGCGGCUGCUCCACAAGAGGCCUGCAGCUCCACGUGAGGGAAUGCUGCAGUUUGAUUCAGUACCUGCAGGUUGGUUACUCAUUGAGCUGAGGAGAAACAGCAACCGGUGGAGGUACACGGACGACUGUCUAUGGGCGGCCACGCCGUUUGGAGCUAGGGGGUGCGCUUUGAUUGACAGAUCUGCCCGCGUCGUCCGUUCUCUUCUGCAAAGACACGAGAUACAAAGCGCAGGAAGUGGAGGGAGGUUCAGUAACUCGUGGAGGAUACAUUAAUGAGUUCCCGAUUUUUUUAACUUCUUUGGGUGAAACAGCCUUUUCUGUUUGAGGCAUCAACACAUGGAAUUCCCUACCUACAGAUUUGAAACUGAUUUCUCUCUGGAACCAUUUUAGAUCAAGACUAAAGCUUUAUCUGAAGGAGAACUAGUUUURUGAUCAUGAAUA